rnacentral:snRNA from 1 species
UUGCUUUGGCAGCAAAUAUAGUAAAAUCGGAAUGAUACAGAGAAACUUAGCAUGGCCUCUGUGCAAAGAUGACAUGCACAGUCAUCAAAUAUUGCAUAUUUGA